rnacentral:pre_miRNA from 1 species
GUCAGCUGGAGAUCUUGUUAAAAGGCAGACUCUGCUUCCGUGAGUCUGGGGGGUCUGAGAGUCUGCAUUUCUAACAAGUUCCCUGAUGGUGCUGG